GGUUGUUAAGAUGGAGUUUGCAAUGAGAAGUUGAGUAAACAAAUAUUUUGACUCAAAAUUUAUUAUCAUUCCAUACUAACCCACUUAAAUCUACUUAUACCUUGCUAUUACCCACACGCAUCCAUCCACCAUCAAUAAAUAAGUGAUUGUGGGUCGUCCAAACAGUCAUAAUUAGCAGAUAUGUUGAUUUUAUAGACGAGUCUAGUGUUAGUACUGUUAGUUACAACCGACAGUUUCAAGUCGUUACAGAGCUGCUAUACAAUUCAGUUACACGUGUUAAUAAUGUGGGCUUACAUUCUGUAACCAAAAAAAUAAAUAAUACAUUCGAUUCUUCUAUUCAAUACAAUUUUCUCUUCUUUCCUUCAAUUAUAUUGUUCACAAUUCUUCAGAGUUGCUCUUAUGAUGAAUCUUCUGGAACAAUGAAGGCUAAACUUGAGGAAGGGACGUGUAUGUAUAUCAACAGGUUUCCGGUGGCGCCAUGCAGUCCGCACAAACCCUAAGCAAGGUGCGGAUAGGAAAUUCGGAAAGCUGCUGACUGUUGGGGCUUCGAAUCCCAACCUUUUCUAGCAAGCCUAUGAAUUAGUCCAUUCCAAAAGAAAAAUAAGAAAUACAGGUCACCUGAAAUGCCGAUGACCAUCAUUCCAUGAAAUUAAUGGCAGUCGAGGAGUCCAUCCUCCAUUCUCCCCUUUCUCUGAUGCUCUCAGUCUCAGGAGUUUAGUCCUCAUCUGGCCAUUAAUAGAUACCAGAUCUACCCGUCUUUGGAGGUUCACCAAAAAGUUUAUUUGCCGUUGGAGAGGAAUUCUUCAAUCGUCACAUUCAUUCAUACCCACAAACAUUAAAAUUCUAUUUUUUUAGAUCUUUAGAGGAAGAGAAAAGUGGAAGAUAAGAAAAUUAAAAAAUGAACGAGAGAGAUAAUGAACAGAGAAAUGAAGGGGAGAAGAGACAAAAUGUUUUUUGUAGAUUUGUAGGUGUAGUGGGUUUUGAAAUUUAAAUUUAAAUUUUUGAUGUAAAUUUUGUCUAAAUAGGUUCCAUCAAUCUUUAGCUAUUGGAUUGAAAAUAUUGGUUGAAGUUGAUUUUUGGCCGUUGGAUUGAUAUCUAUCCGCUGAGCGGAUAGCAUGUGACAUCCACCAAAUAGCAAAGUUGAUGAAUUAUAUGGACCCGCACCAUAUUUAUUCUCAGGGCCUACUAACAAAGCCUUCCUUCCUGCAUCAUGAGAAUAACAAUAUACAUUUAGCCUCGCUCAAAAUUAACUCGUUUUGA
rnacentral:lncRNA from 1 species